rnacentral:lncRNA from 1 species
AAUCUGUUCUCUGUAUCUAUGUGUUUGUGUGUUUGUUUUCCACAUAUGAAUGAAAUCAUAUGGUGUUUGUCUUUCUCUGUCUGACUUAUUUUGCUUAGCAUAAUACCCUCAAGGUCCAUCCAUGUUGUCGCAAAUGGCAAGAUUUAAUCUUUUUUCUGGCUGAGUAGUAUUCCAUUGAAUAUAAAUACCACAUCUUUAUCCAGUCAUCUGUUGAUGGACACUUAGGUUGUUUCCAAGUCUUGGCUAUUGUGAAUAAUGCUUUAAUGAACAUAAGGGUGCAUAUAUCUUUUCAAAUUAAUUGUUUUCACAUUCUUUCGAUAAACACCCAGAAGUGGAAUAGCUGGAUCAUAUGGUAUUUCUAUUUUUAAUUUUUUGAGAAACCUCCAUACUGUUUUUCAUAGUGGCUGCACCAGUUUGCAUUCCCACCAGCCGUGUAUGAGGGUUCCCUUUUCUCCUCAACCUUCCCAAUGGCCAGAUGCUGGAUAUGUUUUUUAGAAUAGAGCUAACUGGCUUUGUUGAUGAACUGGAUAUGGGUUAAUGGACAGACAUCCUUAUUCUUCUGGGACAGUUCCAGCUUAUAUAAUGAAUGACAUGGUCACCCUGGUUAUGAGAAAAAGAGAGGAGUCUAGAAUGGCUCCAAAGUUUUUGGCCUGAGCAACUGGAAGAAUCAAGGUGCCAUUUAAUGAGAUGGGAGGGACUGUGAGGAACAGGUGAGGGGAGGCGUGGAAUCAGGAGUUCUGGUUUGGAUCUUUUCAGGUUGCUUAAGAGACAUUCAAGUGUCUGGUAAGCACAAGCACAAGUGGAGUAGGUGGUGGGAGUCCAGGACGAGGUCUGAGGCAGAGAUGGGAAUUCGAGUGUUGCUAGACCAGAGGAAGCAUGAAGCCAGAGGCCGGAUGCAGUCACAUCCCAGCAAUGAGAAGACCCCUGGGCACGCUCAAGUAGAAGCUGGGGACUGAAGAGGAGCCGACCACAGAGAACAUGAAGGAGCUACUGUAGGAGAGUAGAGGCCAUGAAUGUGUCAGAAAUGAUGCUGUGCCAACUCCAAGCCUAAGCCUUAAGACAGCCUGGCAGCUUCUGCUUUCGAAUUUGAGGAGCCCUGGCUACCCCACUGGAAAGGCUACGUGAGAGGCCACCCGGACGGGCCACUGGAGAGGGAGAGCCUACAUGGAGAGAGGGGCCCAGCCGUUCCAACAUCCCAGCAGAGCCCAGCCUUCUCACUGACGCUGCCAAGACACCAGACGUGAAUGAGUCAUCCCGGCCACUCUGCAGAUGACUGCAGCCCCAGUGAAAAUCCAUGGGGAGCAGAAGAAGCACCUCGCGGAGCCCAGCCAGCACACACAGUCUGGAGAGAGAAUAAAGUGACUGUUGUUUUGAUCACUUAGUUGUGAGGUGGAGUGUCA